rnacentral:rRNA from 1 species
AUGGCGACCAAGCCGGCGGGCAAGGCAGGGGCGACCAUGGCCAUCGGGGUGUUUUCAAGGGAGAGCGAGGCAACCGCCAUCACGCAACUGAAGAAGUUGAAACCCGGGGCGAAGUUGGUCAUCAUGGCCAGCAUGAAAGUUGACAAACCUAAAUGCCGAGCUAGGAUCAAGCCACGACCCGGGCAAGCCCCAGGCCAAUCACUUGGUACAAUGCUAAACAGUGUAAAAUCCGCUACAGUAAACAAGCCUGAGGACCUAGGCCGCCGCCUGGGCAGCUUGGGGCUUGUCUCCGCCACUGCGCAGAAGGAGAGCGGUGGCGCUGUGAAGACCUCGAUGACUGCUGCCAUGACCACGACCAUGACGAUUGUGUUG